AAAGUUAUAUUCAAAAUCAUGAUUUUAAAUUGCAAAUUUAAAGGUAUCUAAUAAGAUUAACUUUU
rnacentral:tRNA from 1 species